UACGUAGGGUGCGAGCGUUAAUCGGAAUUACUGGGCGUAAAGCGUGCGCAGGCGGUUGUGUAAGACAGGCGUGAAAUCCCCGGGCUCAACCUGGGAAUGGCGCUUGUGACUGCACGGCUGGAGUGCGGCAGAGGGGGAUGGAAUUCCGCGUGUAGCAGUGAAAUGCGUAGAUAUGCGGAGGAACACCGAUGGCGAAGGCAGUCCCCUGGGCCUGCACUGACGCUCAUGCACGAAAGCGUGGGGAGCAAACAGGAUUAGAUACCCUGGUAGUCCACGCCCUAAACGAUGUCGACUGGUUGUUGGGCCUUAGGUGGCUCAGUAACGAAGCUAACGCGUGAAGUCGACCGCCUGGGGAGUACGGCCGCAAGGUUGAA
rnacentral:rRNA from 1 species